rnacentral:rRNA from 1 species
UACGAAGGGGAGCUAGCGUUGUUCGGAAUCACUGGGCGUAAAGCGCACGCAGGCGGAUCGUUAAGUCGGGGGUGAAAUCCCGAGGCUCAACCUCGGAACUGCCUUCGAUACUGGCGAUCUUUGAGUCCGGGAGAGGUGAGUGGGACUCCGAGUGUAGAGGUGAAAUUCGUAGAUAUUCGGAAGAACACCAGUGGCGAAGGCGGCUCACUGGCCCGGUACUGACGCUCAGGUGCGAAAGCGUGGGGAGCAAACAGG